rnacentral:rRNA from 1 species
UUGGUCGAACUGUUGCUGGUCCUUCGGGACAUGUGCACGUUCUGCCACCAAUUUUAUCACCACCUGUGCACCUUUUGUAGACUAGAGACAGUUCUCGAGGCAACUCGGUGUGAGGACUGCUGUGCGAAAGCCGGCUGUCCUUGUGUUUCUCAGUCUAUGUUUCUAUACACCCCGAAUGUAUGUAUCAGAAUGUUUUGUUGGGCCUCCGUGCCUAUAAAUCAAAUACAACUUUCAACAACGGAUCUCUUGGCUCUCGCAUCGAUGAAGAACGCAGCGAAAUGCGAUAAGUAAUGUGAAUUGCAGAAUUCAGUGAAUCAUCGAAUCUUUGAACGCACCUUGCGCUCCUUGGUAUUCCGAGGAGCAUGCCUGUUUGAGUGUCAUUAAGUUCUCAACCAUACGAGUUUUUUUUGAACUUGUGUGGCUUGGAUUAUGGGAUUUUGCGGGCUUUCGUUAGUCGGCUAUCCUCAAAUGCAUUAGCAGUGCUUUCGUUGCUAAUCUCUGGUGUGAUAAUUAUCUACGCCGUUGAGAAGUGACUUUUAUUGAAGUGCUGCUUCUAACCGUCUUCACGGACAACUCUUGACAAUCUGACCUCAAAUCAGGUAGGACUACCCG